UUAGCUUGGGCUAUCCUUCAUAAGAAUCCACUCAUUACUUGAUGUUUUGCUAUAGAUUAGUUGUUGUUAAUACCUUGAUACUUGUAUGUUCAUGACCCUCCUUGUUGUUUAUAACAACAAGUGUAGUGGUGAACAAUAGAGGUGCCUAAAUGGAAGCUUGUUCUUCCUACCUCAUGUAUGUAUUCUAUGACACAAAGAGGUACCUAAAUGGAGACAUUAAUCUCCUACCUCAUGCUUGAAUCAUAAGACUUGUAAACUAUAUAAUAUCUAAGUUAUUCUAUAUGUAUACAUCUAAGUAACUAAGACUUGAUGAUGACUUAAUAGUUAUUUGUUAAGUGGACGUUACAUCAUCUAUGACCAUGCCCUUGUUACGACUCUAAUGGAUCUUAGAAUCCAUGAAAUCAUACCAACUCUUUUGAGUUUCAAUAGUGUCAAGAACAAGAGUUAUGCGUACAAGAUGAUUAUUUUCACCUAUGGUUUUACCCACAAGUAAUGUUCAAGUGUGAAACUUGUUGAAUGUGUGAUGGUUGGAUUAGCUUGGGCUAUCCUUCAUAAGAAUCCACUCAUUACUUGAUGUUUUGCUAUAGAUUAGUUGUUGUUAAUACCUUGAUACUUGUAUGUUCAUGACCCUCCUUGUUGUUUAUAACAACAAGUGUAGUGGUGAACAAUAGAGGUGCCUAAAUGGAAGCUUGUUCUUCCUACCUCAUGUAUGUAUUCUAUGACACAAAGAGGUACCUAAAUGGAGACAUUAAUCUCCUACCUCAUGCUUGAAUCAUAAGACUUGUAAACUAUAUAAUAUCUAAGUUAUUCUAUAUGUAUACAUCUAAGUAACUAAGACUUGAUGAUGACUUAAUAGUUAUUUGUUAAGUGGACGUUACAUCAUCUAUGACCAUGCCCUUGUUACGACUCUAAUGGAUCUUAGAAUCCAUGAAAUCAUACCAACUCUUUUGAGUUUCAAUAGUGUCAAGAACAAGAGUUAUGCGUACAAGAUGAUUAUUUUCACCUAUGUUACUUUCUAUAUAUUAAAAACUCCGAAUCUAUAAUCUUCCGUUAUACGCCAAACUCACACACCUACGUUUCCUUGUGUAGAAGGACAAGGUGCUCCGAACUAAUUCAUCUACAAACUUGCUCUCGGAAUUUCAAGUCACCACUUGUAAACCGUGAGUAUACUCGUAUUUCCCCCUUUUUACUUUUACCACUUUUGGGGU
rnacentral:lncRNA from 1 species